UACGUAGGGGGCAAGCGUUGUCCGGAUUUAUUGGGCGUAAAGAGCGUGUAGGCGGCUAUACAGGUCCGUUGUGAAAACUGGAGGCUUAACCUCCAGACGUCGAUGGAAACCGUAUGGCUAGAGUCCGGAAGAGGAGAGUGGAAUUCCUGGUGUAGCGGUGAAAUGCGCAGAUAUCAGGAGGAACACCAAUGGCGAAGGCAGCUCGCUGGGACGUGACUGACGCUGAGACGCGAAAGCGUGGGGAGCAAACAGG
rnacentral:rRNA from 1 species